CCUACGGGAGGCAGCAGUGAGGAAUAUUGGUCAAUGGACGCGAGUCUGAACCAGCCAAGUAGCGUGAAGGAUGACUGCCCUAUGGGUUGUAAACUUCUUUUAUAUGGGAAUAAAAUGUUCCACGUGUGGGAUUUUGUAUGUACCAUAUGAAUAAGGAUCGGCUAACUCCGUGCCAGCAGCCGCGGUAAUACGGAGGAUCCGAGCGUUAUCCGGAUUUAUUGGGUUUAAAGGGAGCGUAGGUGGAUUGUUAAGUCAGUUGUGAAAGUUUGCGGCUCAACCGUAAAAGUGCAGUUGAAACUGGCAGUCUUGAGUACAGUAGAGGUGGGCGGAAUUCGUGGUGUAGCGGUGAAAUGCUGAGAUAUCACGAAGAACUCCGAUUGCGAAGGCAGUUCACUGGACUGCAACUGACACUGAGGCUCGAAAGUGUGGGUAUCAAACAGGAUUAGAUACCCCAGUAGUC
rnacentral:rRNA from 1 species